GACAGAGGGGGCAAGCGUUGCUCGGAAUUACUGGGCGUAAAGGGCGCGUAGGCGGGAUGGCAAGUCGGUCGUGAAAUCCCUCGGCUCAACCGAGGAACGUCGAUCGAUACUGCUGUUCUUGAGGAUUGCAGAGGAGACUGGAAUUCCCGGUGUAGCGGUGAAAUGUGUAGAGAUCCGGAAGAACACCGGUGGCGAAGGCGGCCUGCUGGGCAGUUGCUGACACUGAGGCGCGACAGCGUGGGGAGCAAACAGG
rnacentral:rRNA from 1 species